CGACGUGGAUAACCUGCCUCACACUGGGGGAUAACAGUUAGAAAUGACUGCUAAUACCGCAUAAGCGCACAGCACCGCAUGGUACAGUGUGAAAAACUCCGGUGGUGUGAGAUGGAUCCGCGUCUGAUUAGCCAGUUGGCGGGGUAACGGCCCACCAAAGCGACGAUCAGUAGCCGACCUGAGAGGGUGACCGGCCACAUUGGGACUGAGACACGGCCCAG
rnacentral:rRNA from 1 species